GUGAGGUAAUGGCUCACCAAGGCAUCGACGGGUAGCUGGUCUGAGAGGACGAUCAGCCACACUGGGACUGAGACACGGCCCAGACUCCUACGGGAGGCAGCAGUAGGGAAUCUUGCGCAAUGGGCGAAAGCCUGACGCAGCAAUGCCGCGUGCGGGACGAAGGCCCUAGGGUCGUAAACCGCUUUCAGUAGGGACGAAAAUGACGGUACCUGCACAAGAAACUCCGGCCAACUACGUGCCAUCACCCGCGGUGAUACGUAAGGAGCAAGCGUUGUCCGGAAUUACUGGGCGGAAAGGGCUCGUAUGGGGUUGAGUAAGUCACAUGUGAAAUCUCAUGGCCUAACCCUGACCCUGCAUUUGAUACUGCUCUGACUAGAGUCCGGUAGGGGAGCGUGGAACUCCUGGUGUAGCGGUGAAAUGCGCGCAUAUCAGGAAGAACACCGACAGCGAAGGCAGCGCUCUGGGCCGGUACUGACACUGACGAGCGAAAGCAUGGGUAGCAAACAGGAUUAGAUACCCUGGUAGUCCAUGCCGGAAACGUUGGGCACUAGGUGUGGGGAGAACUCAACUCUCUCCGCGCCGUAGCUAACGCAUUAAGUG
rnacentral:rRNA from 1 species